rnacentral:rRNA from 1 species
ACGGGAGGCGCAGUGAGGAAUAUUGGUCAAUGGGCGAGAGCCUGAACCAGCCAAGUCGCGUGAAGGAUGAAGGUUCUAUGGAUUGUAAACUUCUUUUGUUCGAGGGUAAAGUGAGUCACGUGUGAUUUAUUGCAAGUAUCGAACGAAUAAGCAUCGGCUAACUCCGUGCCAGCAGCCGCGGUAAUACGGCGGAUGCGAGCGUUAUCCGGAUUUAUUGGGUUUAAAGGGUGCGUAGGCGGGAUGUUAAGUCAGCGGGUAAAUAGUGUAGCUCAAGUAUACUUUGCCGUUGAAACUGGCGGGCUUGAGUGUAGACGAGGUAGGCGGAAUGUGACGUGUAGCGGUGAAAUGCUUAGAUAUGUCACAGAACCCCGAUUGCGAAGGCAGCUUACCAGGAUACAACUGACGCUGAGGCACGAAAGCGUGGGUAUCAAACAGGAUUAGAUACCCUGGUA